UUGGAAAAUUAUGCCGAUAAACAGGAUGGAAUUUGGGAAAAAAUGUUAUAAAUCGAGUGGCUCAUUUACGAUGUGCUCCAAACAUUUGGCGAACUUUUUUUUCGCCUUUUCAAUGUGCUAAGUAAGAAACCGCAAGCAAAGGGCAGACAACCUUCCAGGAAGCUGCCUCCUGUCCCCGAGCCGAAGCUGCAGGUCAGCAAGAGCAGGUCAGCAAAUUGCUACCCUGAUCAAACGUAAACUAAAGCGCUCUGCUGUGAUUGCACUCCGUAAAUGUGAAAACUUGGUGCAUGCUGAGAAAUAUCAAACAAGAAAACUCCGUGAUGGACGCCGUGAGAUGGAGUAACGCUGUGUGGCAAAGAAAUGCGGCCAAUUCGACGGGCCUGAAAAAUCCAAAUUGGCUUUUGUGAUCCG